rnacentral:siRNA from 1 species
GUUGUAUGAGCCACAUAGGUGUGA